rnacentral:rRNA from 1 species
ACGUAGGGGGCGAGCGUUGUCCGGAUUUAUUGGGCGUAAAGAGCUCGUAGGCGGUUCGAUAAGUCGGAUGUGAAAUCUCCACGCUCAACGUGGAGAGGCCAUUCGAUACUGUCGUGACUCGAGUCCGGUAGGGGAGUGUGGAAUUCCCGGUGUAGCGGUGAAAUGCGCAGAGAUCGGGAGGAACACCCGUAGCGAAGGCGGCACUCUGGGCCGGUACUGACGCUGAGGAGCGAAAGCGUGGGGAGCAAACAGGAUUAGAUACCCUGGUAGUCCACGCCGUAAACGUUGGGCACUAGGUGUGGGACUCUAUCGACGGGUUCCGUGCCGUAGCUAACGCAUUAAGUGCCCCGCCUGGGGAGUACGGCCGCAAGGCUA